GAUGAACGCUGGCGGCGUGCCUAAUACAUGCAAGUCGAGCGAACAGACGCGGAGCUUGCUCCUCUGACGUUAGCGGCGGACGGGUGAGUCACACGUGGAUAACCUACCUAUAAGACUGGGAUAACUUCGGGAAACCGGAGCUAAUACCGUAUAAUCUAUUGAACCGCAUGGUUCAAUAGUGAAAGACGGUUUUGCUGUCACUUCUAGAUGGAUCCGCGCCGCAUUAGCUAGUUGGUAAGGUAACGGCUUACCAAGGCAACGAUGCGUAGCCGACCUGAGAGGGUGAUCGGCCACACUGGAACUGAGACACGGUCCAGACUCCUACGGGAGGCAGCAGUAGGGAAUCUUCCGCAAUGGGCGAAAGCCUGACGGAGCAACGCCGCGUGAGUGAUGAAGGUCUUCGGAUCGUAAAACUCUGUUAUUAGGGAAGAACAAAUGUGUAAGUAACUAUGCACGUCUUGACGGUACCUAAUCAGAAAGCCACGGCUAACUACGUG
rnacentral:rRNA from 1 species